AUUGAACGCUGGCGGCAGGCUUAACACAUGCAAGUCGAGCGAGCGGCGGACGGGUGAGUAAUGUCUGGGAAACUGCCUGAUGGAGGGGGAUAACUACUGGAAACGGUAGCUAAUACCGCAUACCAUCAGAUGUGCCCAGAUGGGAUUAGCUGGUAGGUGGGGUAAUGGCUCGCCUAGGCGACGAUCCCUAGCUGGUCUGAGAGGAUGACAAGCCACAUUGGAACUGAGCCACGGUCAAGACUCCUGCGGUAGGCAGCAGUGGGGAAUAGUGCACAAUGGGCGGAAGCCUGAUGCAGCCAUGCCGCGUGUGUGAAGAAGGCCUUCGGGUUGUAAAGCACUUUCAGCGAGGAGGCGUUACUCGCAGAAGAAGCACCGGCUAACUCCGUGCCAGCAGCCGCGGUAAUAC
rnacentral:rRNA from 1 species